rnacentral:lncRNA from 10 species
UGUAACAGGAGAAAUAUCCCAGUAGUGUGGGAAAGCUAAUUAGGGGUUUGUACCCAUGGGAACUAUGGGAUAAAACUUCUAAAAUGUGGUGAUACUGAACAGUUGCUCUGAAUUGAUGUCUCCUUUGGUUCUUCUGCACUGAAUGCUGACACAAUAUCUAGAACUACAGCAGCCAUCUUGAGAUAAAUGAAGGAAACCUAAAAACACCAAGAGACGCAUAAUAAAUGCCAACAGCUUGUAGAAAGUAGAAUUAAGGCUCAUAUACAACCAAGACUACUUUAUCUGACAACACUGUGCUUCAAAAAUGAAGGAGAAAUAAAGAAUACCCCAGAAGUGUUUACAAAUGCUGAGAAAGUACAUUACCACCAGAUUUGCAUUACAAGAAAUGCUGAAGAGAGUUCGUCAAGAUGAAAGAACACUAAAGAACAUCAUAAAAGCAUAAGAAAGUGAAAGUUUAUUGGUAAUAACAAACAUAUACACAAAUGCAGAAUAUUGCUAUAACAGCACUGCACAAGUCAAUUUUAUUCUAAUACAGAAGAUGAGAAAAGUAUAAAAAUAACUAUAACUUAGGCAUAGGUUAAUGGAUACACAAUAGAAGAUGUAAUUUGUGAUGUCCAUAACAUAAUUUGGGGGCAAAAUAAAAGAGUAGGGUUUUUGUGUACAAUUCAAGUUAAGUUGUUAUCAGCUUUAAAAAUAUAUAUAUAUAUGUUAGAUGUUUUAUGUAAGCCAAAUGGUAACUGUUAUAAAAAUUAAUGUUUGUGCCUCCCCCCAAAUUCAUGCUGAAGACCCAAUAUCAUGGUAUUUGGAAGUGGCGCUUUGGGGAGGUAAUGAGAUCAAGAAUAUGUAGCCUUUGUGAAUAGGAUUAGUGUUCUUAUGAGAGAGAUGAGAGACAAAUAAGAGAGACGAUUUUACUUUGUCUCAUGAGGAUAUAUCAGGAAGGCAACUGACUAUAAAUCAGAAUGAGGGCCCUCAGCAAGAACCCAGCCAUGGUGACACCCGAUCUCAGAUUUUUAGCCCUAGAAUGGAGAUAAAUAAAUAUUUGUUGCUUAAGCUUCCCAGUCUAUGAUAGUUUACUAUAACAGGUAAGACAGUAACAUCAAAGAAAAUACUGAUAGAAGAUGCAUAAAAGAAAAUGAUAAAGGAAUCAAAGCAUGUCACUAAAAAAAAAAAAAAGGAAACACAAAAGACAAAAAGAGGAAAAAAACAAAAAAGCUACAAGACAGACAGAAAACAACAAAAUGGCUAUAGUAAGUCCCUCCCUGUCAGCAAUUGCUUUAAGUGUAGAUGGAUAGAACCACCCAAUGAAAAGAGGAACGCAAUGAAUUUUUAAAAUCCAACGAUACAUUGCUUACAAGAGAUUUACUUUAAAGACACAUGUAUUGAGAACAUUUGUAUGUAGAAUGUAAAAAAAAUAAGAACACACAUAGACUGAAAGUGAAAGCGUAGAAGAAAGGUACAGUAUGCAAAUGGUAGCCAAAAGGGAGCAGGGGUGGCCAUACUUAUACCAGACUAAAUGGACUAUAAACUUUAAGUCAAAAACUCUCACAAGAAAUAAAGAAGACAUUUAUGUAUAUAUAUUUACAUAUAUGUGUGUAUAUAUAUACAUAUAUACAUAUAUAUACAUACACACACAUACACAUAUACAUAUAUAUAAAAG